AUUGAACGCUGGCGGCAGGCCUAACACAUGCAAGUCGAGCGGAUGAAGGGAGCUUGCUCCUGGAUUCAGCGGCGGACGGGUGAGUAAUGCCUAGGAAUCUGCCUGGUAGUGGGGGAUAACGUCCGGAAACGGCCGCUAAUACCGCAUACGUCCUGCGGGAGAAAGAGGGGGAUCUUCGGACCUCACGCUAUCAGAUGAGCCUAGUUCGGAUUAGCUAGUUGGUGGGGUAAAGGACUACCAAGGCGACGAUCCGUAACUGGUCUGAGAGGAUGAUCAGCCACACUGGAACGGAGACACGGUCCAGACUCCUACGGGAGGCAGCAGUGGGGAAUAUUGGACAAUGGGCGAAAGCCUGAUCCAGCCAUGCCGCGUGUGUGAAGAAGGUCUUCGGAUUGUAAAGCACUUUAAGUUGGGAGGAAGGGCAGUAAGUUAAUACCUUGCUGUUUUGACGUUACCAACAGAAUAAGCACCGGCUAACUUCGUG
rnacentral:rRNA from 1 species